rnacentral:sRNA from 1 species
AUUUGAUGGCCCUUACAUACAUGGUGAAUGGACUAUAUAGCUGCUUUUAGCUGUCAAAUCUGUCUUAGUACUUGUAUAGGUAUAUAGGUAUAUGGAGAAGUGUUGGGCCAUAUACAGUCGACUUAUGUAUAUGUUUUCUAUGACUUUUGGACAAGCAGUGCUGGUUUAAUAUUAUUACAGCAUAAAACAGGAGUAUAGUGCUUUAUAUAAAACAAAAUAAAAAACACAGACUUGCUGGCAGCAGGGAUAAAUCAUAGAGUUACUCAACCAGAAAGGUGAAGGGAGCUAGAAUAAUCACAAAAAAAGAUCUUUGUUAACUGAAUCUCAAAAUGAAAUCUGUAGAUCUUGUUACCCCCCCCCCCCCCCCCAAAAAAAAAAUAAAAUCUUUUUUAUAAGGUCAAGAAAUCUUUGGACUUAUGUAUUUUCCAUCUAGAAAAUCUAUUUGAACUUGAAAUAUAAUUAAUAUAAUCUUUCAAAAGAAAUUAUUUUUUAUGCUAUAACAUUUCUAGAAGUGAUAAUUAAAUGCAUGGAAUUUGAGUACAUGUAUAUAUGCCUUUUUUAUUUAUUAAUGUCUGACAACAGCUAGUACGUCUAUUGACCUGUAUUAAAAAAGCAGCUGCUAAUUAUUUCGCCUACGGAAUAUAAACUUGGAAGAUACAAUGUUCUAGAAUCAACAGAUGUUUGAAUAUCGACACUUAUGUCACCGAUAAGGAUGAUAAGUGAAUAAACAAAAUUUGAUCAAUAUUUCAUAAUACACAUAUAUCUGCAUCAUUAAUGACUAGCUGCAUAUAUAUCAAACACCAGCUGUUAUCAAAACAUAAUUAUAUAAUUUCUGGAUAUAGUAAUUGGAACUGGGAAUGAUUUGGAAUUCAGAUUAAAGGAUUUUUGUGAAUUUUUUUUUUUCUCUCCAUUCAUUAUUGUUACUGUUUGAACCAAAAUAUCAUACAAUUUUCUUUUAUGAAUAUUAUUAUGACGAACUUGCACAGCUAUUUACAAUACAGAAAACAAAUAUUAGGCCAUUAAUUGGCCUUCUGCCAAAAAUUUCAAGUGUUUACGAAAAACAACAAGUUAUUUAUUUAGGAAUGUACUAUGCACAAGUUCUACACAUUUUAAAAAUUCUCCUCAUCUGUUUCACCAACUUGAAGUGCUGCAUGAUCAGGUCAUUAUAAUCAAUAAACAGAUUAUCUUGGUAAACAAAGGGAUUUAAAAACAGAAUUUUAUUAACUUCUCUGUGGAUUGGGGCACUAUCCAUUCCAUUAAACAUGUUAACUGAUCUAAAUUUCCACAAAUUAAGAUAACAGUUUUUAUUCAUCCACCAUCUGUCACUUUUACACCCACCCCCCCAUCCCCCCCUCUGAAAGAAUCAUCAUACAACUGUAUUCAAUUCAGCAUACUAUAAUAGGCUCUCAUAAUGUCAAAAAAAAACCCCCGUUAUUUCAUUGAAGAGAAUGAGAUUUA